rnacentral:tRNA from 1 species
UCCCAGUAGUUCAGACGGUAAAGAAUCUGCCUGCGAUGCAGGAAACCCAGGUUCGAUCCCUGGGUUGGGAU